UUCAAUAUUUAAACAAGUUCCAGAAAAGUCUCCUCUUAAGAGAAAUUGUUGGAGCUCCAGAAUUGUUUUCUGUUCUGUAUGACUGCUUGAAACAUUCAAGCAGUAACUCUUACUGCUUUGGAUGUUGAUAGAAAUAGAAUUCCACUCCCUUUUUUCCUUGAAAUAAACUGUUCUGGGGACAAAGACACUGGAGCACUUGCUUGGUUUCCCAAGAACUUCUGAAUUCAAGGUGUCUAGCUUUAAAUGGAAAUCUUAGUAUAGUUCUAAGUAUGUUUCCUAACUAAAUUUGGCUUUAAUGUACUUUCAACCACUAUCUCUCCUCACUUCUCAUCUUUAAAACUUCCUUAAACAAUGUAAUUGUAAUUGAUGCAGUACCCUUGUUUUUUUUUCUGCAUCAGUCUAUCCCUAUGUGAAACCUGAGUGCCAAGCUAAAUUUUGAAGUUGUAAGUUUAUUUUUGAAAGGGAGUGAAUUCUUUAAGGUCAGUUUUUUUUGUUGGUUUUGUUGCUUCUCAUUUCUUUAUUGGUGAUACCUUGCAGCUGUAUGUUGUUACGAGGGCUUCCAGGUGCUUCAGAAUUCAGAACUGCCAUCAUACUUCAGGAUGCAGCAUGUUCUAGCUCUUAGCACAGGCACGUGUAAUGCUGCAAGUCUACUCACCAUUUAUGAGUCAAUGGCUUGAGUGCCAGAGAUGUCUAUUUGAGGGCUCUAAAGGUAUUAAACCUGUGUGGGGUGGUAUGUAGCAGUGCUCUUGGAGAAACUGUAUGCAGCAGUCAAUGCUUUUCCAAGACAACGGUCAACCUUUUAUUGCCAAAGUAGAAUAAUUGGAAAUAAUUGUUUUGUGAGCUUAGUUUGGUAUCAAAAAUCGGUGAGGAGACCCUCAAAGUAAAUUGUUGAGGUAGCUUGAAAGUGAGGGUCAUAGAAUUACGUCUUUCAUCAAGGUUUUGGCUGUUCUGAGUCAUGUGAAUAAGACUUUUCUGGAGUUUUCUUCUUCAUUUGUUAACUUGCUUUGCAGGAAAAAGAGCUAUAGAUGUGAAAACUACAUUAGUUAAAUAGUAUGUCACUUUCUGGUGGUUGGUUGGGCUCCUGCCAAGGAGAAAUGGCAGGGUUUCCUCUAUUCCAAGAGGAACAGGACAUGGGGGG